rnacentral:sRNA from 1 species
GUGCUGGUCAAUCCCAGCGCCAGGCUUGGCGGCCUGUUAGACUCAAGGCGGAUUGCCGCCAUAUGCGGCAUUUUU